rnacentral:rRNA from 1 species
UACAGAGGUCUCAAGCGUUGUUCGGAUUCAUUGGGCGUAAAGGGUGCGUAGGCGGCGCGGUAAGUCGGGUGUGAAAUCUCGGGGCUUAACUCCGAAACUGCAUUCGAUACUGCCGUGCUUGAGGACUGGAGAGGAGACUGGAAUUUACGGUGUAGCGGUGAAAUGCGUAGAUAUCGUAAGGAAGACCAGUGGCGAAGGCGGGUCUCUGGACAGUUCCUGACACUGAGACACGAAGGCCCAGGGGAGCAAACGGG